rnacentral:rRNA from 1 species
ACCCGCUGAACUUAAGCAUAUCAAUAAGCGGAGGAAAAGAAACCAACAGGGAUUGCCUUAGUAACUGCGAGUGAAGCGGCAAAAGCUCAAAUUUGAAAUCUGGCGUCUUUGGCGUCCGAGUUGUAAUUUGGAGAGGCAUCUUCGGAGAGAGCAUCGGUCCAAGUUCCUUGGAACAGGACGUCACAGAGGGUGAGAAUCCCGUGUCUGGCCGAUUGCAUCAAUCCAUGUGAAGAGUCUUCGACGAGUCGAGUUGUUUGGGAAUGCAGCUCAAAAUGGGUGGUAAAUUUCAUCUAAAGCUAAAUAUUGGCGAGAGACCGAUAGCGCACAAGUAGAGUGAUCGAAAGAUGAAAAGCACUUUGAAAAGAGAGUUAAAAAGUACGUGAAAUUGUUGAAAGGGAAGCGCUUGAGACCAGACUCAAUUCGCAGUAAUCAGCAGUCCUUUUGGGCUGUGCACUUGCUGCUUUUUGGGCCAGCAUCGGUUUUGACUGCGUGAUAAAGAUUUUGGGAAUGUGGCUCCUUUCGGGGAGUGUUAUAGCCCAGGAUGUAAUGACGCAUGUUGGGACCGAGGACCGCGCUUCGGCUAGGAUGCUGGCACAAUGGUCUUCAGCGACCCGUCUUGAAACACGG